rnacentral:rRNA from 1 species
CAGCUCUCCGAGUGGUAGGGAUGAUUAUUGGGCCUAAAGCAUCCGUAGCCGGCGCUGUAAGUUUUCGGUUAAAUCUGUACGCUCAACGUACAGGCUGCCGGGAAUACUGCAGCGCUAGGGAGUGGGAGAGGUAGACGGUACUCGGUAGGAAGGGGUAAAAUCCUUUGAUCUAUUGAUGACCACCUGUGGCGAAGGCGGUCUACCAGAACACGUCCGACGGUGAGGGAUGAAAGCUGGGGGAGCAAACCGGAUUAGAUACCCGCGUAGUCC